GAAUGAACAUGCAUCACAGCUUUCGUAUGUGAACGCAUUGGACCCCAGAGAUUCCUGGGGUUUAGGGACCGGGCCGGACUGCGAGCAGCGAAAAUCAGCAGAUAGAUGACGGUCAUUGAUGUUGUUCGAACACUCGGGAGGAUGGAUUUACUCUUCAUUUGGUUCGUCGUGAAAAAUGGAUGGCACAGGUCCUAAGGACGAGAGCUUUGUGGGUUCCAAAUGACAGCAGGUGCCACUACGUGUUUUCAAUGGCGACUGUCCCAGUGUGACAUCUGAUGACGUUGCAGGCACGAUGGCGACCACUUGGAUGUCGGGUGAGACUUCCGCAACUUUGUGCAUGGAUGACUCGCUCUCCGCUCAUAUUUAUUUUUUCGUAUAGACAUUGACGUGAAUAAUGUUACAUGUAUUUUUCAUCACAAUAUCUAUUUUAGAAUGUUUAUAGGGAUGUCCAUGGCCCUUUAAGGUUAAGGUGGUCCACCGGCUCUCAGCCAAAAUUAGUCAGGAUAGGCCGCAGCCCACCUGAGCCCCUAUUGAGCAUAAGCAGUAUAGAAAAGGCAUGGAGGAGGAUUAAGACAAUAGGAUUAAGAAGAGGGCUUCCUAUGUAACACAUCUUGAGAGACAUUUUUGACGCAAGAGUUCAAACCCGGUGGCGCUGCUCAGACAUUGCAAAUGUAUUCCCUUUGUGUUCUUUGCGUAGAAGGCAUAUUGUAACGCAAAUGAUUUCCCCUGCCUUGCACGUGGUGAGGAUGUUUGGACGGGGAAGCUGGCGGCCCGCCAGGUCUGGAAUGGGAAACCUUCUCGCCAUAAUGUCGCAAACAUGAAAGCAGCACAGAGGAAUUCGUUUUUCUUGGAAACGGGGCAAGAUUAUCACGUAGUCCUAAGGCAAAGCAUGAAGAAAACAAUAGUGGGGUUAAGAUGAUGAGAGGAGUACCUUUUCAUGUGUAUGGAUUGCACAAUCGUUCUGUUUACCAGAGCAAAAGGAACACUAUGUGCUAUACGGUGAAAGGAAGAGAGUACAUUACAGAGCAAUGUCCCAAUAUAUACUCUUCCAGCAUGACAAAGUUCUUCCUUAAAAAAACACCAAAUGUAAAAAAUAUGGGGCGGAAAAAUGGAGAAAGUGGGAAUUAAAUUAACUUGAAAUAUGAGGUUAAAAAAAAUAAAGAGUAGGAUAUCUUACUACAGUCUGUGAAAAGACAUGUGAAAUGAACGCAACUGGAAGCAGGAGCAGAAAGUCAACAAAGAAUUCACGUGAUUUAUACUGCCAUACGAUAUGACAAUGCAGUCCUAUUCUGGGGAGUGCUUUUUUUCCCCCAACUCUUUUAUUCGCGUUUUUGGGGGUAGACCCCACCCAAAAAAAGGUCCAUAAUUUCCUAUGUCACAAAAUGGCAGCAAUUCCCUUUUUCCAUAAAACAAGGCUGUAGCCUCCCUAAAUGAAGCUCCCUCCAAUCCAACUACUUACUUAGAACCAGAAGUAGCGAGAUGGCAUCAAAACAAAAGUGUUUUAUUCGACAUGGCUUCGGCCAGGGCAACAAAACAGCAAAUAGAUGACUUUUAGAGCAAAUAAUGGACAAAAAAUGUCCACGAUAAAUGACAAUGCAAAUUUGCGAAUGCCAGACGACAAUGAUGCAGGUCUUCAUUAUACUCUAUAGUACAUAAUAUAAAUACAUCAAUCAUGGCAUAGAACAGUGUAGUGUCAUAUUAUUGUGUUCAGAUUUUUGCUUUAGUCAUUGAUGGUGUACUGUCGCAUACAAUACAAGCAAAAUUAUGUUAUACAGUUGUGACAACACUUUUAACUCAAGAUGCUUGCAUCUCAGUUCAUCUUUCCCAUUAAAAUGAAUGCAAAUUGCAUUAAUCCAUUCCAGAGGUAACUAAAUACCGCAUAAUUUGUCACUGAGUACGUAUAUCCACGAGUAUUCAUCAGGCACUACAGAGCUCAUUCGUCCUCCUUGCUUGCCACGGUGUGAAGACUGACUCUCGGGACCAUCCUAAACCACGUACCCCCUGUUACAGUGGCAGGGUGAAACUUGAAGCUGUCUUUUGAUUGGUAGACAGGGAAUCGCCAUCUUUGUGCAACAACAGAUAUAAAUAGCAAACAAAUGGCUGAAUUUAUCAAAAGGACAGCGAGAUGUUUUGAAAACAUACUGAUAUGCUAACACCCGCUUCGGUGCGCAAGCGAGCCACGUGAACAUCACAUACUGUACUUUGAUGGAGUAUCUUUGUAUCUUUGUUUAUCUUUGUAUCUCCUCACUUUAUAAGUUAACAAAUCAAAUUCCCUCGGCUUGACUUGCCCCCUCUUUAUCUUUAACUCUGGCUUACAAAAAUAUGUCUCCUCUUUGGCUAUAAGAGGCUCUUGUUUGCAAUGAUCUGAUGAUGGGAGGUGGACCUCCCUCAAGAGAAUCGAAUCCAAGAUAAUCUAUCAAUCUAUCCACUUGACCCAUUCAAUAAACACCAAUUCCUGUUUUUCUGCAGUUUUGAUAUUUGCUGCUGUAGGAGAACACUGGUUUCUUUUCCCUAUAUACAGUAUUUAGUAACCACGAUGAUACAAUGCUUCACAAACAUGUAGUCUACAGUCAUAGAAAUUAAACUUAAAUUAAACUUUUGUCAAAAUGUCACUUAAACUGGUUUCUAAGAUUUUUAGCAUAUCAGCAGGUUUUUUUUU